rnacentral:lncRNA from 1 species
UUUCUGAACAAUGUAACUUUAAUGGGCAUUAAGGUUGGCAAACAGGUUAAGGAAACCAAGCCUAGUGUUUUAACUUCAGCCUAGUCUGCUCUGAAGUUAGCAUUUGAUGCUAACACAUGCUGCUGGUUAAACAAAACUUUGUACUACUGAACAGUGUCAGGAAACGAGUAAAUCAUACAGAUAAAAAGUGUCCUUCUUGGAAAAUUUGAAGCAGUCUUCUCUUUUUAAAGUGCGUGUGUCUACUUUUAGUAUUCUUACAAAUUGGCUUUAUAUAAAACAAGCUGAAAAUUCAAUGGCUUUAAUAAUACUUACAAGGCUAGGGAAUAUAGCUCAGUGGUGAGCUCUGUCUAAAAUAGGCAGAGUCCUGGAACCACCACAAGGACGGAAAUAACUAUAUAUAUAUUACAUAUAAUAUAUAUAUGUUUUAUAUAUAUAGUGUACAUAUACAUGUAUAUAUAAAUGUAUAUAUUUGUAUUACGAACCAUUUAAAAUUGGCACCAAAGCAAUUAGGUUUUGGGAACAUGUAUAUAUAGGGAGUAGGCGAAAACACUGUCAGUUUCUAAACUGUCAAGUAGUAGCAGGGUGCUGUGCAUAGAGGCUUUGUGAGAAGUAUGCUUGUUCCCUCCAUGGGAUAGGGUCUGUCCAGAUGCCCAGCCUGGGACCUGAGAACCUCCUCUAGCAUGACACUCAAGCACCACCAGGCAGGGCCAGCAGGAGGUCUGUCCAGAUGCUCAUGCCAGGAACCUCAAAAUCGCCAUCCAAGGCUUUGCAGGAACGCAGGGUCACCAGCACCUCUUCCUGCAGAAAUGGCUGGGCCUGGCACAAGCUCUGCAGCCUUAGACACAGCUCUUCCCAGGGCAUGUCCUCCAGCUGUGUGGGAACCCAGGCGCCCUUCUGCAGAUCAUAAUGCAGCCGCGUGGCCCACGCUGUGAGCAGGUCCAGGUAGGCACGAGACAGUGCGUGGUGGCAGCCCGCCACAGAGGCCAGGCGCUUAGCUGGCAGAUGGCGGCAAAAAGCGGCCAGUACCUCGGUACUUUCUAGAAGCCAGUGCAGUAGUUUUUGUGUUUCAUCCGCUCCCGCAGAGUCUGCGGCCUGGGCUGGCUCCGGGUCCGCCUCGCGCAACAGAGCUUCCGCCAUCACGCUGAGCACGUGCUCCCGCGGCCCGUGCUCCCACAGCGUAUCCAGGAGUUUGCGCGCGGCCGUAGAGUCCGCACCGCCCAGCUCCUGAAGGCGCGCGUACAGCAGCUCCGCGUGCGUGCGCAGCAGCGCGCCCUUAGGCGCGUCCCCGCCGAGGCGGAACAGCAGGUGCAGCGCGCUUCCGCGGCGUGCCAGGAGGACCAAGCGGGACUGCGGCACGUCGUCUACGUUGUCUGCGGCAGGGCCUGGGAAGAGCAAGCCUGGCAACGCGCGGGCGGCGGCGGGCGCGAGCGCGCGGUUACGCAGCAGGCGUAGGGCGAGCCGCACGUCCCCAGACUCCAGCGCCGCAAAGCUACGCAGGCCGAGAGGCCCUCUCCGCACGUGGAGCCGCCUCUCUAGCGCCUCCCGCACGCGGCCGC